UUUAAAUAAAUGUAGGUUGAGUUUGUUUUAAGUUUAUAUAUUAUAUAAGAAUUAAAUAAAAUAAUUUUAUUUUGGUUAGUAAAUUAGUGGGGGCUUUUUUCUACAUGAUAAAUUAUUGAAUUUUAAUGAAAAUUGAGAAUUGAAUUUCAGUGGUUUAUUUUUUGGUUUAAUGGGGGUUAGAUUGAGGAUUUAUUAUGUGAGAAGUUAAUUGUGUGCCAGCAUCUGCGGUUAUACAUUUUCUAAAAAUUAAUUUGUUUUAUUUAUUUGUUAAUUGGUUAAGUAUAACUUUUAGGAUGAAGAUUUAGGUGAAAUUAUUAAUUAUCUAUGUUUGGGUUGAGAUAAAGUGUUUAAAUAAUUAGUUAAAAUAGGAUUAGAUACCCUGGUAUUAGUUUUAGUUCAGAACAUUUGGAAGAUUAAAAGUUAAGGAAUUUGGCGGUAUUUUAUUCUUAUUAGGGGAAUUUGUUUUUUAAUCGAUGAUUCUCGAUUUAACUUACCUUUUUUAUUGGCUUAUAUAUCGUUGUUGGGGUAUUUUGAGAAUAAAAUAUUUAUUUAUUUAUUGGUUUUAAUUAAGUUCAAAUCAAGGUGUAGUUUAUAAUAAGGUAAAAAUGAAUUACAAUAAUUGUGUAUUAUAAAUGGAUUUUGUAUUGAAAUAUACAUUUGAAGGUGGAUUUAAAAGUAAAUUUUUUUGAGAGAAGAUUUGAAGAGAGUUCUAAAGUGUGUACAUAUUGCCCGUCAUUUUCAAUUAUUAUGGAGAAUUUGAAACAAGUCGUAACAUAGUUGGUGUACUGGAAAGUG
rnacentral:ncRNA from 1 species